rnacentral:tRNA from 1 species
CGGGAUGAAGGGGAGGUGGCGCCCCGCCUGGCCUGGGACCAGGAGACCGCAGGUUCGAGUCCUGUCAUCCCGA